GGAGUUAGCCGGUGCUUCUUCUGUGAGUGAUGUCCUUCCUGCCGGUUAUUGACCCGCAGGCCUUCUUCCUCACUGAAAGUGCUUUACAACCCGAAGGCCUUCUUCACACACGCGGCAUGGCUGGAUCAGGGUUGCCCCCAUUGUCCAAUAUUCCCCACUGCUGCCUCCCGUAGGAGUCUGGGCCGUGUCUCAGUCCCAGUGUGGCUGAUCAUCCUCUCAGACCAGCUACGGAUCGUCGCCUUGGUGAGCCGUUACCUCACCAACCAGCUAAUCCGACAUAGGCUCAUCCGAUAGCGCGAGGCCCGAAGGUCCCCCGCUUUCCCCCGUAGGGCGUAUGCGGUAUUAGCCUGGGUUUCCCCAGGUUAUCCCCCACUACCGGGCAGAUUCCUAUGCAUUACUCACCCGUCCGCCGCUCGCCACCAGGGAGCAAGCUCCCCGUGCUGCCGCUCGACUUGCAUGUGUUAGGCCUGCCGCCACGCGUCAUCUGAACAAGANACAACUACUGA
rnacentral:rRNA from 1 species